rnacentral:rRNA from 1 species
GAUGAACGCUAGCUACAGGCUUAACACAUGCAAGUCGAGGGGCAGCAGGGAUUUAGCUUGCUAAAUCCGCUGGCGACCGGCGCACGGGUGCGUAACGCGUAUCCAACUUUCCCGUUACUCAGGGAUAGCCUUCCGAAAGGGAGAUUAAUACCCGAUGGCAUGUAUUUCCGGCAUCGGAGAUACAUUAAAGAUUUAUCGGUAACGGAUGAGGAUGCGUACGAUUAGCUUGUUGGCGGGGUAACGGCCCACCAAGGCGACGAUCGUUAGGGGUUCUGAGAGGAAGGUCCCCCACACUGGAACUGAGACACGGUCCAGACUCCUACGGGAGGCAGCAGUGAGGAAUAUUGGUCAAUGGUCGGAAGACUGAACCAGCCAAGUAGCGUGAAGGAUGACUGCCCUACGGGUUGUAAACUUCUUUUGUUUGGGAAUAAAAGACGCUACGUGUAGCGUUCUGCAUGUACCUUACGAAUAAGCAUCGGCUAAUUCCGUG